rnacentral:rRNA from 1 species
AUGAACGCUGGCGGCGUGCCUAAUCCAUGCCAGUCGAGCGAACAGACGAGGAGCUUGCUCCUCUGACGUUAGCGGCGGACGGGUGAGUAACACGUGGAUAACCUACCUAUAAGACUGGGAUAACUUCGGGAAACCGGAGCUAAUACCGGAUAAUAUAUUGAACCGCAUGGUUCAAUAGUGAAAGACGGUUUUGCUGUCACUUAUAGAUGGAUCCGCGCCGCAUUAGCUAGUUGGUAAGGUAACGGCUUACCAAGGCAACGAUGCGUAGCCGACCUGAGAGGGUGAUCGGCCACACUGGAACUGAGACACGGUCCAGACUCCUACGGGAGGCAGCAGUAGGGAAUCUUCCGCAAUGGGCGAAAGCCUGACGGAGCAACGCCGCGUGAGUGAUGAAGGUCUUCGGAUCGUAAAACUCUGUUAUUAGGGAAGAACAAAUGUGUAAGUAACUAUGCACGUCUGGACGGUACCUAAGCAGAAAGCCACGGCUAACUACGU